GAUGAACGCUAGCGGGAGGCCUACACAUGCAAGCCGAGCGGUAUUUGUUCUUCGGAACAGAGAGAGCGGCGCACGGGUGCGGAACACGUGGGCAACCUGCCUUUAUCUGGGGGAUAGCCUUUCGAAAGGAAGAUUAAUACCCCAUAAUAUAUUGAGUGGCAUCAUUUGAUAUUGAAAACUUCGGUGGAUAGAGAUGGGCACGCGCAAGAUUAGAUAGUUGGUGAGGUAACGGCUCACCAAGUCAAUGAUCUUUAGGGGGCCUGAGAGGGUGAUCCCCCACACUGGUACUGAGACACGGACCAGACUCCUACGGGAGGCAGCAGUGAGGAAUAUUGGACAAUGGGUUAGCGCCUGAUCCAGCCAUCCCGCGUGAAGGACGACGGCCCUAUGGGUUGUAAACUUCUUUUGUAUAGGGAUAAACCUACUCUCGUGAGAGUAGCUGAAGGUACUAUACGAAUAAGCACCGGCUAACUCCGUG
rnacentral:rRNA from 1 species